GACGUGCUUGCACUGAUUUUAACAAUGAAGCGAGUGGCGAACUGGUGAGUAACACGUGGGAAAUCUGCCCAGAAGCAGGGGAUAACACUUGGAAACAGGUGCUAAUACCGUAUAACAACAAAAUCCGCAUGGAUUUUGUUUGAAAGGUGGCUUCGGCUAUCACUUCUGGAUGAUCCCGCGGCGUAUUAGUUAGUUGGUGAGGUAAAGGCCCACCAAGACGAUGAUACGUAGCCGACCUGAGAGGGUAAUCGGCCACAUUGGGACUGAGACACGGCCCAAACUCCUACGGGAGGCAGCAGUAGGGAAUCUUCCACAAUGGACGAAAGUCUGAUGGAGCAAUGCCGCGUGAGUGAAGAAGGGUUUCGGCUCGUAAAACUCUGUUGUUAAAGAAGAACACCUUUGAGAGUAACUGUUCAAGGGUUGACGGUAUUUAACCAGAAAGCCACGGCUAACUACGUGCCAGCAGCCGCGGUAAUACGUAGGUGGCAAGCGUUGUCCGGAUUUAUUGGGCGUAAAGCGAGCGCAGGCGGUUUUUUAAGUCUGAUGUGAA
rnacentral:rRNA from 1 species